AUUCUAAAACUCAAAAUCAACUGUGUUACUGUUCAUAAGCACAGUGUGCUUCCUAUUUUGCCCUCAGUUAGUUUGUAUUAUUUGAAGUCUGCCACUGACCAAAGCAUCUCUCGACAGCUGGAAUCGCACUCACCUCUUCUUCCUGCUUUAGGUGGUUCGUUCUUUCCAUUGGAUUAUGUUUGGGUGAGUUCUUAGUUCAUAGUUGCGCUCCUCCCGACUUCGAUUCCCCGUUCGAACACAAACCCAAACCUUUUAAUCUCCUUCCCCAAAUCAACACGAUCAUCCAUUAAUUUUAAUUCGCGCCCAAGUCCUUAGAACGCUCGAACCCAGUUUGGGUUCGAUAUUCCCGCCGACUUUCAAAGGUUUUCCGGUGGCGGCUGGCCCUGCAACCAAAACUAUUUGACUCAGACAGUCCCAACAACAACAUGUGAGCUUUGCAUGCUCGAAUCUACCCGUCGAUCAAAGAUUUCCAUAAGUCCACCUUGCGGUGGGUUUUUUCGACGAGGAUCGGAAUCUUUUUCGGCCAAUUUCAGGCCUUUGAGACCUUUUUUGGGUCCAGCCAAGGAUGAUCAUGAAUGAAUGGUACUCUUCUGCAAUGGCGGGAUUUGUUAUCUGUGGGGCAACUGAUUGGAUUCUGUAAAUCAAUUUGGUGGAGGAGUUGUUCCGUAGCCUGAGGAAGAACAGAGCAAUGUUUUUGAAACAAGAGUGCUGUGUUGGAACCAACAAUGUUGUAUGGUCUAAUUAUUUUCCCUUAAUAUGAUUGAAUUUUAAUUAGUUGUAUGUAUAUCCAGAACUAAUGAAAGUAUUCAAAACUCUGAAUUUGUAGCUCUCAAAGUCCUCAGACCCAAAUUCCUCAACAUUUCCUCAAACCCACAACUUUGGCUUUGACCGUUCUUUCUCCUCCUUGGGUUCUAUUUUCGUCUCUGAUCCCUCGAGUAAGCAGUCGUAGCGGCCAGUUUUCAUGGUCGGCUUGGAUCUUUUAAGUUUGAUUGAUAAGGAUUGGUGAAAUAGUUUACACUAAACAUGAUUUGAUUAUAUCUUUCCUCUUAAGUUUAUUAUGCAGCUCCUUUUAUAGGCAAUGCUGCCCCUUAGUUCUGUUUAUUGGGUUUCUUUUGAAUAUCUGUUAUGAUGUCCAGCUUUCUCACUGUACAUUUGGUACCUGAGUAUUGGAUGUUAGCUUAGAGAUUUUGAAAUACCAAUAUUUUUUAGUUAUCGUAUUAUUUUGACCGUAUUAUUUGCUUUUUAUGACCUAAAAAUACAGUAAUGAAUGAUAAGAUGGGUUUUGAUUUAUAUAUGCAAAGUGUCCGUAACUGCUGCUUAUGAUAAUUUUGUUGGGGAUCCUAUUACUAUGCACUAGCUUGGCGCCAAUGAGUUUUUUUAUUUGAUUUGAGAGAAAUUGAGGAAUGAGAAAUUGUUUUUUGCUUAUGCUUUUUUUAGGUGUGUACUAAAUUGAAUGGCUAAUACAAAAUGUGAACCAAUCUUACUUUUUAAUUUUUGUGUGCCUUUAAAUCAUAUGCAAUUUAGAUUCAUUCAAUUCUUAAGGGAUCGAGUUCUAUUUUUAAUUUUUUUUGUAUUUUUUUUCAAUUCAUCGUUAUUGUACAAGACAAAGGAGACACCAUUAACGACGCAUAUGGGUGUCUUUAGUGGAACAAAUCUUACCUUUUGAGCCUUGUACAAUUUUAAACGUUAAAGUCUCCCUGGGAAUAGGACCAUAGCUUUUGAAGAACAAUCCAUGAGGAUGACAUACUAACAUCCUCCAUUUUUGGCAUGUAAUAUAUGAUUGUAAAUAGUACUCUCUAGCUAUGGUGUACUACCAUCCCAAUUUUUGUUAUGUAAUAUAUGAAUGUAAAUAGUACUUGGUUAUGGCCAUGGCGUACUCUCUGGCACAUAUUUUCUCACGUAUAUAUGCCCUACUUUUUACACGUUUAAGACAAUUUUGAGACCCGCAGCAUCGCGCGGGCUUCACUGCUUGUAUAUACUAAAAGAGAAAAUACACUGAAACACUGUUCAUAGUACAGUGUGAUUCCGUUUUUGCCCCUACUUCUUUUUUGCUAUUCCAACUUUGCCGGUUUGCUACGCUGUGGGAACAAAAUGGUGACGCGUGUUCUUCCUUCUCGAUGUUUCGACUUGCUUCUUUCUCUCUCUGCUCUCACCGACUCACUUCCGUCAACUCUUUUCUCUCGCAGUACCCACAAGCUCUCUUUCGCAGAAAUGACGAACCCAGCUCGACUUCUCUUUCAAAACUCAGGUCGAGUCCUCGACUUCUCUCUUCUAUUGCUCUCGAAUUCGCCCUCUCUCGCUGACGGUUUUUGGUGCCUCGUGGAUUCUGACUGCCUCCGCAGCCGUGAAAUCAUAGAAAUCAUCAUCGAUCAAGCCCUUGCUGUUCACAAGAUCCAGCUUUCUGAAGCUUUGGCUCAAUUUGAUCCGGCUUGGUUCUGCUCCUCGCCUUGCUGUUAACAAGAUCCAGUUGUUAAGGUUCGCAAACAAAAACCUUCUUUGCAAAUGGAUUUCUUGCUUUCACCGAUUAUUUGUCUUUCAUGCAUGUUGGGUUUUUUUUUUAUAUUAAUUUUGGUCAUGUGAUUUUUGUUCUUCAUUUUACUUGGAUUUUGAGAUUUUGUUUCUGUUCUAUUUAUAUUAGUUUUUUUUUUAUAUUAAUUUUGGUCAUGUGAUUUUUAUAUUAGUUUUUUUUUUCUUCCUCUGCUGAAAUUACACUUGGAUAAAUUGUGUCAAUUUCUUUUUAUGUGUGUAGAAAAUUUUAGCGUUGUUUUUGUGGCUAUUAUAUGAUUGGCUGACAAAUAGUGCCUUUAGCACUACCUUCUCUCUCACUGAGCCCUAGCUCAAACCCUCAUCCGCCGUCGCUAACCUACACCCUCCACUGCCCGCACUUCAAAUCGUGCUCCGAGUGUACUCACGAGUUCAAUCUCCACCGUCCUGUCAUCGAUGAGGCGACGGAGUUCUUCAAGACAGUUGGAGUCUCAGAUUUCACUUUUGACAGUUGCAAAUUUGUGCUUUACUUGACUUUUUUUUCCCCUUAAUUUCGUGAAGUUUAGGCCUUUUCUUAAAAUUUAAAUAAAAAGAAAUAUCUAUCUGGUAUUGGUUAGUUUUGAUCUUGAUAUUAACUGGGUUUGGUGUUCGUGGGGAUGGCAGUGUCUCGCAAAGUUAGCCGUUCUUGGGUCACCAGGUCACCACAAAACCCCCUGAUUGGGCUUUAUCAUUAGGAACUCAUAGUGUAGUAGAUAUUCCUCAAUGCAAAGCUCAUUGUCCAAGUAUAAAUGCUGCUGUGGAGCUGCCUAAAGAAGGUCCCUUUCCGGUUAUUAAAACUCAAUGUUACCUGUUUUCAUUUCCAGUUUUUAAGUCUUCUAUUUGUUUGCUUGCUGCAAUUAUUCAACUUAACUACCAUUUGGAUCAUGUGAAUGACAACUUUCAUGUAUAUUUUCAAAUAAUGAGCAGUUUAUUGCUGUUAAUCUGUUGAUCACUGUAUAUGUUGCUGAUUUACCUACUCAAACAACGUACAUGUUAACAUUGAUAUAUAAAACUUAUUUAUAUGUUAAUAGUAUGGUUUCUUUACAUUUGAGAUUGGUUGAACAACAACAUUUUCUACUUUCCCAUGCCAACUCACUCCACUCUGUUCGAAGCUCUUCAACUUUUGCACACAAAUUGCUCAAAAAUUCCUGCUCUCAAACAUCUUAGAUCCCUUACUCACCCUUCUGGCAUCAACACCCAAAGGUAUAUUUCUCUCAUUGCUUUCACAAUUCAGUGUGUGUAUAUAUAUAUGUAUAUAUAUGCUGAAAUGUAUGAAGACAUUCACAUAUUGUAGAACUAAAAGGACGGUAGAAUGCUUGAAUAAUGGAAUGGAGUCGAGAUUAUGUUGAGAAAGGACAGUAAAUAGCUAUCACUAUGUGAAUGUCUUAUUUUCUUUCACUACGUAAAUAGAUUUUAAGAGGUCGCACUUGGUGCGAUGGCAAGUGCCCUUCGCCCAUAAGCGGUAGGUCUCGGGUUCGAGACUUGGGAGCAGCCUCUCCAUAAAUGGGGGUAAGGCUAGCCGACAUUCACCUCUCCCAGACCCUGCGUAAAGCGGGAGCCUUGUGCACUGGGUACGACCUUUUAUUGUAUUUCCCAUGUUGAGAGAAAGAACUAAAAGGAUAGUAAAGUGCUCGAAUAAUGGAACCGAAUCGAGAUUAUGCCCAAGGUAUAUGGUAAUCUUUCUAUUUUACCAAAGCCAGAACAAAGAAAGAUGCUCUAUUAAUCUAGGGAUAUGGCACCCCUUUGGUUUUUGGAUAGGAUUUGGUGCAUUAUCAAAUAAGAGCUUUUUCUUUAGAAUUAUUGAAUCAGUGCAAUAUUUCGGUCUGAGCACCAUAAUAGCAGCCACAGAUAACUUCUCACCCAUUAACAAACUCGGCCAACGAGGUUUUGGCAUUGUUUAUUAGGUGAAUCCCAAUUCAGAAGUCUUACACAUUUUACAAUUGAAUGAUUUCUUCUUUAUACAGUAAUUUUGGUCUGUUUCUUCAAGUCUACUGUUUUUUUUUUUUUUGUUUGUUUUAAAGCAUGAAAGCCUAAUAGUAAUACUGAUUCAUUACUUCAGGGCCACUUGCCAAAUGGUCAGAUUAUUGCUGUAAAAUAUGUAGAUUGCACUUGAACAAGAAGAUUGAGAAACAGAAGGUUGGAGGACUAGAUGAUCAAGCACUGCCUUAUUUUUAAAGAAAAGAAUAGUCUUUAGAAGAGCAUAUUUUGUGUUUGGCUUCCUCUACUGACAAGUCUGAGAAUUCGCAUGAGCUGGAACGCUACUGUCGGUUUGGAUUCCAAAAAGACAAACGUGCAAAAAUUUGAUCACAUCCUAUAAAAUUGCCAGAAAAAGGUCAUUCCCAAAUCAUGCAAAACCAGCCUUCUUUCCUGCACAAAAAACUGGGUAAACACAAUCUAUCCUUAUUUUAUUCAUGAUAUAAGAUUUUGCAACAGCGGUUGCAUGGGCAGCAGGGAAGCUGUUGGUGAUGGAAAGGGUGAAGGUUGCUCCACCUAAGGCCAUGGAAAUGAGGGUAAAGGUCAAAUAUACCUCAGUUUAUCACACUAAACUCUACUUCUGCCGAAGGUCAGCAAUAAUAUCUACUACAUACAUAUAAUAUACAUAAUAUAUAUAUAUAUAUACACGAUUUUAAAUGAUUAAGAUUUGAGAAUUGCAGAUUUGUAAACUAUGAGUAGAGUUUUCCAGGCACAUUUACUUUGAGUGAAUACAUUGUUGUUCAUUCUGGCCAUCUUUCCAAAAUCAAGCGCCUUGCUCAGUUGGACAAAGUUUGCAUCCUUACCAACAAGUUUGGUGUCGUACUCAAUGCUUUAGAGCCUUGAAUUAUGCAUCCUCAACUGAUACUACAUAUUGAAUUGUUUGCAUUAUACUGAAUAUUUUGUUUUUUAAUAUCAGGUUUGGGUUCCCCUCUCAAUGUAGCAAAACGAAAAAUUAUCCUCAGUUGCUGUUUAUUGGCCUCACUGAAAGUUUGGACAAACUUUGUUUAUCCCAAAUUCUUUGUUCUAAUAAAUUGCAUUUAUUUUCUUUUCUGUAUUUAUACUGAUAAAUGCAUGAUCUAGGCUACUAAAGGUGGAAGAAUUUCUGAGGUGCCACAGAGUAUUGGGGUGGAGUUGGUGGACUUGAAGCCCAAGAGGUUUGACAAAGUCUACAAUGUACAUACAACUAAGGAAAAGACCGAGACAUCAACCAGUGCAGAAGCUCUUGAUAAGACUAAUUGCCGAUAGCACUACAAAUGAGCACCACAAUUUUAAGCUUGAUGUUGGUAUGUGAUUUCCACUCCAUCUCAUCUUUUUUUUUUUUUUUUUUUUAACGUUAGUUUAAUUUUCAAACCUUUUGUAUGUAUCAAGUAAUUCUCCAUAUAAUUGAAUAAUGGCCUUUUUUUUGUUUCUCUUUUUCGCUCCUCCAUCAAUUCAUUGGUUAAAUAGAUUGAAAAAAUUUAGUUUUUCUAUAUUGAAUUCUUACUGAUUCCAAUUCUUAAUAUAUAGCAAGAGAAAAUUUCUGACUAUGAACUUCUGUACAUGAAUAUAGCUUUCAUAGCAUCUCUAUCUUUAUAACAGUGAGGAAUUGCACACUGCCAAUCUCUAUCUUAGGUAUAUAAAUCUAACUUCAAUAAAUUCUGUUUUAUGUAUGUACAUAUUAUCAAAAUAUUUUAAACACCCGCAGCAACGCGCAGGCACUUUUGCUAGUAUACACUAUUGUAGGGUUCAAGAUUCAAGACCAAAGAUAGCAGCUUUGCCGAAACCAUGGUGGAUUCCUGACACUGUACACCAACUACUGUACAUAUCUCAGCAUAGAAACCUCACACAGAUUUCAACUUAAAAGGGUUUUUGCUCCUCUGUUUUUAGAUUCAAAUUUUGCUUCAGAUGUUCAGUUCCUGAUUAAUUUUUAGGCUUUUUAGUUUACUAGUUUCCGUUCAGUUUUCAUCUUCUUUGAUUACAUUUGAAUAUAUAUAUAUGUAUGUAUGGGGGAUAUAUAGAAGAAGAGUGUAAGAAAUGGAGGGGUUUGAGAGUAGGGUAGUAUUCAAGAGGCUACGUUCCUCAAGAUCUCAACCAAUUGUUGUUUUUUUUUACGGUUAAGAGUAAUGAAUAAUUUCAGUCAAUAAGGGUAUAUAUUUUUAUGUUAACUUUUGGUUGUAAUUAUCAUAAAUUUAAGAGAGUGGCUAUAAUUCUAUA